CCCUUAGAUGUCCUGGGCCGCACGCGCGCUACACUGAGUGUCUGAGAUACGAGUCUGCCUGGUCCGGCAAGGUCUAGGUAAUCGCUAAAAGACACAUCACGCUUGGGAUAGAUUAUUGCAAAUAUUAAUCUUGAACGAGGAAUUCCUAGUAAGCGCAAGUCAACAGCUUGCGUUGAUUACGUCCCUGCCCUUUGUACACACCGCCCGUCGCUACUACUGAUUGGAUGUUUAAGCGAGGUUCUCGAACUGCUAGCGACUUAGCUUCGGUGAGGUCGCAGUGUGGGAAGUGAACCUAGCUUUGGUGUCUAGAGGAAGUAAAAGUCGUAACA
rnacentral:rRNA from 1 species